rnacentral:tRNA from 2 species
UUUUGUGUAAAGAAGAUGAUUACACAGCAGAUUCAAAAUCUGCCGCCCAUAAAGCGUGUCGGUUCGAGUCCGACCACUGGCACCA